CUUGACCCAAAAAAAGGGUGAAAUUUGACCAAAAACUAUUUGAAAAUGUUUGAAAUUUGAAUGCUACAUGAUACCUGGUACUACUGUAAUAAAAUACUCAACUCAGUUGGACCGUAAUUGGUGUUCAAUUAUUCAAAACAUCACAUGUUCAUUGCAUUUAUUAUUCAUCAAAACUUCAGAAAUUUAUCAAGAUGUGAGAAUUCUCAAUCAGUGGCAUAAACAAAACCAAAAUACAAAUAAAAU
rnacentral:lncRNA from 1 species